AGUGGGGAAUAUUGGACAAUGGGCGGAAGCCUGAUCCAGCAACGCCGCGUGAGGGAUGACGGCCUUCGGGUUGUAAACCUCUUUCAGCAGGGACGAAGCGCAAGUGACGGUACCUGCAGAAGAAGCACCGGCCAACUACGUGCCAGCAGCCGCGGUAAUACGUAGGGUGCGAGCGUUGUCCGGAAUUAUUGGGCGUAAAGGGCUCGUAGGCGGUUUGUCGCGUCGGGAGUGAAAACCAGGUGCUUAACACCUGGCUUGCUUUCGAUACGGGCAGACUAGAGGUAUUCAGGGGAGAACGGAAUUCCUGGUGUAGCGGUGAAAUGCGCAGAUAUCAGGAGGAACACCGGUGGCGAAGGCGGUUCUCUGGGAAUAUCCUGACGCUGAGGAGCGAAAGUGUGGGGAGCGAA
rnacentral:rRNA from 1 species